UUGGUCCUACGGGACGCAGCAGUGGGGAAUAUUGCACAAUGGGGGAAACCCUGAUGCAGCAACGCCGCGUGAAGGAAGACGGUUUUCGGAUUGUAAACUUCUGUUCUUAGUGAAGAAAAUGACGGGAGCUAAGGAGCAAGCCACGGCUAACUACGUGCCAGCAGCCGCGGUAAUACGUAGGUGGCAAGCGUUGUCCGGAAUUACUGGGUGUAAAGGGAGCGCAGGCGGGAAGCCAAGUCAGCUGUGAAAACUACGGGCUUAACUUGUAGACUGUAGUUGAAACUGGUUUUCUUGAGUGAAGUAGG
rnacentral:rRNA from 1 species